rnacentral:rRNA from 1 species
GGGUAACCUGCCCAAGAGAUCGGGAUAACACCUGGAAACAGAUGCUAAUACCGGAUAACAACAGAUGAUGCCUAUCAACUGUUUAAAAGAUGGUUCUGCUAUCACUCUUGGAUGGACCUGCGGUGCAUUAGCUAGUUGGUAGGGUAACGGCCUACCAAGGCGAUGAUGCAUAGCCGAGUUGAGAGACUGAUCGGCCACAUUGGGACUGAGACACGGCCCAAACUCCUACGGGAGGCAGCAGUA